UUUUGGGUUUCCCUCUCACUGUUUUGUUAGGGUUUUGUUAGAGGCCUCUGCGUUCCUGGUUCUCUUUCGCCUUCCUCGUCAUCGUUCCUUGAAGCAACAGAUUUUAUCUUCCAUCAUCGUUCCUUUGAAGCAACAGAUUACGACUCUAGAUUGGAGAUAUAGAAAGUGACGAAAUCCAGUUCUGAAUUUGCGCGAAGAACCACGUUGAUGAUAUUCACCAAGUAGAUUUCUGCAAAAUAACGCCGGCGAAGUUCUGUGGUUCAAAGGAAAUUGUCCCACUUGAGUUCCGCAAACUAGAUGGUGCAUAUAGUCAAGAAGUACGAGCUACUUUAAAUAUGUGGAGAUUUAUAGGGCACAUAAAUAUUAGACAGGUUUUAAGAAAUAAAGCUAUAGUAUAGUGAUUAUUGCAGGAUUUUUUAAUUUUAAUGGAGGUAGUUUUAGAACCAAUAUUUUUUUGAACUAUUCAGACAAUUGUAAUAGAUAUAGAUUAUUCUUAUGAAUUUACAAAUUUUUAACUUAUUUGUUAUGAAAAUCUUAUUAUAUGUAGUUCAUAUUUAUUACAGGUAUAUGGAUAACUAAAUCCAUUUGAGAA